rnacentral:rRNA from 1 species
UACGUAGGGUCCGAGCGUUGUCCGGAAUUACUGGGCGUAAAGAGCUCGUAGGUGGUUUGUCGCGUUGUUCGUGAAAACUCACAGCUCAACUGUGGGCGUGCGGGCGAGACGGGCAGACUUGAGUACUGCAGGGGAGACUGGAAUUCCUGGUGUAGCGGUGGAAUGCGCAGAUAUCAGGAGGAACACCGGUGGCGAAGGCGGGUCUCUGGGCAGUAACUGACGCUGAGGCGCGAAAGCGUGGGGAGCGAACAGG